UCCCGCGUAGCUCAGUUGGUAGAGCGUUUGACUUUUAAGAUCAAAACGUCCAGGGUUCGAGCCCCUGCGUGGGAG
rnacentral:tRNA from 1 species